AGAGUUUGAUCCUGGCUCAGGAUGAACGCUGGCGGCGUGCUUAACACAUGCAAGUCGAACGGAGUGCUUUCGGGCACUUAGUGGCGGACGGGUGAGUAACGCGUGAGAAUCUGCCCUUAGGUCGGGGACAACAUCGGGAAACUGAUGCUAAUACCGGAUGAGCCGAGAGGUAAAAGCUAAAAGUGCCUAGGGAAGAGCUCGCGUCUGAUUAGCUAGUUGGUGGGGUAAGAGCCUACCAAGGCGACGAUCAGUAGCUGGUCUGAGAGGAUGAUCAGCCACACUGGGACUGAGACACGGCCCAGACACCUACGGGUGGCUGC
rnacentral:rRNA from 1 species